UUAUUUUUUGUCCACUCACUCUGACGUUAUUAAAUGUUUUCCCCUGGGCCCUUCGUUUUAAAUUGCCCAGUCUGCAGAGUUCGGGUUGGAUCUAGUAGGAGACGAGGCAUAGUCACCCGCAUUUCUGCCAGUUUUCGCCAGUAGGUUACCUGUUCAACCUACUCGUGUUUUCUUGCUUCCGCUUGUGUUUAGUAGCUCUGAAUACUUUAGAAUUUUGUAUAUUAUGUGAUAUUCAGAAGCGUUAAAUUAAGAGUGUAAUAUGAAAUUUUUGAGUUAGGGUUGUCCAUCUGCAAGGGAGAUUUUCUUAAUCUUUUCAGUAAAUUUUCCUUGGAGGUGGUCCCCGCACGACUUACUCUGGGUUUCAGGGUGAAAUUCGGGGUGGGUCGUGUCACAUUAUGCUGUGAGGACCUGUAUUCUGUCUACAAGAUGGAAGAACAUAUGGGCAUCUGUUCCGACUUUAGACUUCCGCAUAUCGGGUUUCUCUAGCUCUGCUAAUUUUUUGGCCUUUGUUGAUUAUGUACUUUUCUUCCGUCACUCAUCAAAAAUCCACAAAUUUCAGCUUCUCUGAAUGAAUGAAGAUGUGGAACACUCACGUGUUAAUGCUUGGAUCAACACUGCCAUUAGGCGCAAUGUUGUUGAAAUUGAUCUUUGGGCCAUGUAUUCAGGUUCAUCCCAGAUUCUUGAGUUGCCUAAAAGCCUUUUCAUGUGCAAAACAUUGGAGAGUCUGAAGCUGAGAUCACCAUUUAUUAGUAAUCUUCCUGCUUCAGGGUGUUUUCCAAGUCUCAAGUUUCUCUAUGUUGACUUUUUCCGUGAGGUUCAUGACACAAUGCUUCCAGUUUUCUCUAACUUGCCGAAACUUGAAGAUUUGACUAUACGUUGUCAUUCUCGAUGUGAUUCUUCUCAGAAAUUAAACAUUGCUGCCCCUGCACUCAAGAAGCUAAGAUUAAGUUUGUAUACAAAUGAUAAUGGUAUUAAUAGCUACAACUAUCUAAUUAAUUGCCCAAAGCUUGAAAAUCUUUAUGUCAAUGAGCGGGUUCCAUCGACCUAUUAUUGGGGCAAAGCAAAAUCCCUAGUCAGAGCUAGUAUUUAUCUACAUCAACAUUGCUCAAAUGAACAGCUAAGUUUCUACGAUGUGACUGCGCUUUUGGCAGGAGUAUCCAAUGUUAUAGAUUUAUGUCUUUCAGCUCAUUGUUUUGAGGUGAGUACAGCCUGUGUUCCUUCCUUUGUACUUUUUGGUAGGCUAGACUAUAGGUUUAUAAGAUACAUGUUCUUUAGAAUAGAGGCUAGUACAUGUGUGCGAGAAUCAGUCUCAUGAUCCAAUCACUUAACAGAAUGAAAUAAAUCAACUUGUACAAGUUUUCUAAUUUGAUUGCUGCUGUUUGUGAUGUCUCUAUUACUUUGUUUGUUUGGCUUUACUAUUGCUUCUCAAGUUUUUCCCCUUUCUGUUCUUUUUUAUUUCUUACAGUAGGUUCAUCAUCGGCUUUCCUGUACAUUCUCGCUAUUAUUAAUAUAAUUUAUGUUUGGUAUCCAAAAUAUAGCUUCUCAGUUCUCACUAGUUCUUAGUUUAGUAAGGCGGAACUGAAAUCUAGGAGUGUAAUUAAAUCAGAAGAUUCUUUAUUCCCUGAGGAAAAGAUGUCUCCUCCAUCUGCCAAUGGGCUACUUUUUACUCUUUUUUAUCCAUCUUGUCAUAUAUUAUGAACUUAGAUUAUGCGUAAGUAUAUGUUUGAUUUCUGCAUGACCUUCUGUUUGAUUAUUUCUUCAUAUUUCACAAAGGUUGUCUCUCUGCCUCCUUAAUAAAAUUUGAGACAAUUGAAGCUGGUGAUUCAUAAUUGCUUUUGCUGGGAGUUGCUUACAGAGUUGCUCAAAAGAUCACCUCUCCUGGAGUCUCUUGUCUUGGAACGUAAAGUAAGAUGUUUUUCCACUUCUUCAAUAUGAAACUAUAAUGUAGUUCUUACUGAUUGUCAUUUGACUUGUAUUUGACACAAUAGGUAGGGUGCCAGGUGGUUUCAGAAGACUCUGAGAGUGAAGAGGGCUCAGACCAUGAAGAGAGGUCAGAGAGUGAACAGGGAUCAUAUGAUGUAGAUGGGCCAGUGAAUGAACAAGGGUCAGAGCAUGAAGUAAACUCCAAGAGUGAAGAGGGAUCUUUGCAUAAAGGGGGGUUAGACCAUGAAGACGGGUUAGAUAGUGUGCAAGGGUCAGAGCAUCAAUGGAAUCCUCUAGAUUCUGUGCCUAGAUGUUGUUGGUUACACCUCAAGAUUGUCUCCAUGGAGAACUUCAGGGGAAACCGUGAGGAGUUGGAAGUGGCAAAGUACUUGCUGCAGUACGGUCAUGUCUUGAACAAGAUUACUAUAUCUUUGGAUGAUCUUGAUUGGGUUGAAAAAGUGAAGAUCUACGAGGAGAUUCAAUGGCUUCCGAGGGCUUCAAGAACUUGUAGAGUUGUACUAACCUCGAAGGGGGGUUUUGUGUAAGGUGCUGUAGCACAUACUCUAUUCACAAGGAUGAAUCUACUCGACUUGUAUGCUUUUCAUAUCGUAUUUUCUUAUCAAGUCUCUACUUUCUCAAAUUGUAUGGGGACUGAAUUUUGGUGUCCUGUUAUCAUGUCUAUGGCACGGAAGAUUUUCAUCUCAUCUUGAGUCUUGCCAUGCUCAAUAGUCAUCCCUAUGAUUAUCUGAACUGAAAGGAGUUAAAAUAAUAAAAAUUGAAGCUGAACUAUUAGUCUUGCAUGUUAAGUUAACUCGAAUAGACCUGGUUCUGGUGUUCAUGAGUAAUGUGAGGUAAAUGUCCUAAUGUUCUGGUUUUGAAAUAAUGUAGUCCAAAAUUUGAAACAAAAAAAAAUGAUAAAACCAUUAGUGCCUUUUCUUCUCUCUCAAAACUUUUUCCUCCUCUCUCCCCCCCCCCCCCCCAAUCUAGAUCGUUUUGAUAUGGAUCUUGGCAUGAGAGUUGGGGGAGCCUCUGAUUUCCUUUCCUUUUCGUAGUUUUAUGUUUCUGCUAUCGGCAUCAUCCUUUACGGGAACUAUCCACCAGCCGUUUUGGCCGGUUUCCCCGGAGUUCUUUUCUGAUUUGAGGCUACAUGCCUCUCCUCUUGGCUACUCGGCCUUUCCCUUUUAUCGUAUUUGUCAUAUGGUUUGCUUCUAGAUCUGUCCUGAUGAUCCCAACCCACUUUUAUCCAGAUCUAUCCAUAUUCUUCUUCUUAAACCGGUUACGAUCGGCUAGCGGCCUUUAUUAGUUUCCUUCCGCCGAAUCUGCGGCUCCUCGGAGCUUAAAUCAAAACAGCGUUUACCCGUUAGUAAAGCACCCGGUGAUGCUUCUAAAGGCUGAACACCCUUUGGGUGCCUAUCUCUUCAAUCCCCUUGUGAAUUUCACCAACCCUUACAUUCAACCAGUUUAUCUAGUUGAAUCUGUGGCGGAAGAUGUUCUCCUAUUCGAAGAAGGUUUGAGGUAUAUGGGUAUUAUGAGUUUGCAUCUGAAUAUCUGUUUAUGAAAUUGGUAUGGGAGCUUUUAAUGAUCAUCAGACAAGGUCGAAUCGUGUGUCUAGAUGCUUCGAUUUUCACGGCGGCGAGACGAUCAGUUUUGGUCAAGAAAGAGCUGACACUAUGGUAUCUUCCCUGCGGCUGCGAGAGAUUUAGGAUGGAUUGGAUUCGCCUGGUUUAAGUCAUGUUGUUGUUGUUGUUGUUCUUUUAAGUUUCAUUAUUGUUGAUCGUUGUUCCAUCCUAGUUUUUCUAGGAUUUGUAACAUCUGUUUGAUUCAAUGAAAUUCUAUUUCGCCUAGGGCUGGGCAUGGGAAGGGAUGGGACAUGAUAUAGCUAAUCACACGGUCCGUCCCGGACAUUGAAAUCAGGACGGGACGGGCUUUGAGUUUUUUUAGAUUUCAUCCCACCCGAGCCCUAUCCCGAUCGGGACGGGAUGGGAUGAAACAGGACGCGCCCAGUCCUUGAUAAAAAAAAGUUGAAAAUAAACUUGUAAACAAAAAAAAGAGUUCUAUAGUAUUAUAUUGUUCUUUACUCUAUUAAGUGUUAACAAGUACUUGUAACAUAUUUAUAAGUACAACAUGGUGUAAUAAGAGAGUUUAUACUACUUACUUUCUCUAAACCUGUCAUCGCUACUACGGUGCAAGAAGAGAGUCUAUAACAAUCAACAAAUUAAAGUAUUAAACAUUAUUGUUAUUGAAUUGGAGACAACCUAAUAACUUAAAGAACUAAAGAGCUAAGAUCAAAACAUUUAAAUGAAAGGAAUUGUGAGGAUUUCAAAAAAGAUGUCUCUCUUCCUAGCUCUGCUAGGGGUUUUACUCGACGGUGGCAGCGGUCGACAAAACUCCCAAACUGACCUGCAACGGUAAUUCUCUUUUGAUGAGGAAAGAGAUCUCUUCUCCAGUCUCUUUUUCUCCAAUCAAAGGCAGUGAUGGAUGGCUCUAUCGUGCCUUAUAUGGGCGGUGGUGGAUGUCGAGUCCAACUUGUGGUGGUGAUGGCGGCUUUGUUCAUCAGAAUCUCCUAAACAAAGGUCUUGGUUGUUCUCUUUUUGUUCUUGCCUUUGGGUUUGAUACAAAGGAGGAAACAAUACAGGCCGAUCGACUUGUGGCUUGGGAUGGAAUGGGAACGUUGAAGAGGAUUGGAGCGCUCGGCGGUGGCUUGUUUGGCGGCAGUUGGGAGCCCUCAAUUCAGAUCUUUGCGUCUCAGAUCUCGGCAAGAGGGCAUGAACCAGGUAUUCACCAUAUUUCUGUUGUUGGGGAGGAUGGUGGUGCUUUGGCUCUGAUUCUAGAUUUUGUUCCGACGGCGCCGCUGCUAUCUGAUGGUGAUGACGGCGGGGAGAAGAUGAAGGUUGCUAGGGUUUCUCUCAAGGUUUCUCUAGGAGUUGGGCUUGUUUGGGCUUGGGCUGCAUCAGCUAGGGUUUCAUAUGAUUGGGCUGUGACGGAUGAAUUUGGGCUUUGGCCCCUAAUUUAGAAUGAGUUAUGGUCCAGGUAACUAGUGAUUUUCGAAGAGUCUUGAUAGUUUUCUCCAAAACCUAGUUUUACCUGUAAAAUAAUUGUGCUUAAUCGCUAUAAGGUGGGUGUACUUAGGAUUUCAAAGCUUAUGUUUUAUCUAGUAUAGGACUUGCAAUUCUGCAAGACGAUGUUUUCUGACGACCCUACAAGGGUACGUCGUCUUUGUACUGCUUGCUCUGAUUUAAAUCGUAUGACCUUUUGAUAAAAAAAAAACAUUUAAAUGAAAGGCUCAAAUCACAUCUUAAUCAAUGAAAAAUCAAUCAUUAAAAUAGUCGGGACGGGACGAGCCUAAGCGAGACUUGAAUUAUGGGCCUGACGUUUUGAGAUUUAAAUCUCGUCCCAUCCCGGCAAAUUUUAGGAUAGGCCCGGGACGAGUUCGGGAUUACAAGAUUUUAUGCCCACCCCUAGUUUCGCCAAAAAAAAAAUAAAAAAAAAUUAAUAUAAUCCAAAAUGUCAAAGGUUCGCAGUUUUAUUCUGUCAUUCAUAAGAUCAUAAAGUUGUUCAAGCUUUUGUUCUCUUUCUUGAGACGGAGUCAUUGUUGUCGAGUGUAAAGACUUGGUAGCCACUGUAAAAUCCACGUUUCGUCACUCGGGNNNNNNNNNNNNNNNNNNNNCCAAAAUGAUAGUUCAUUCCGCCAUUAAUUUGUUUUUUAAAAAAAAAAUUCAGAAAUUAAUGCAUCACACACGGAUAAGGUAGAAUUUCCGAUAUGCUGUUUACAGAUUUUCCAAACUGGUAAAAGACUAAAGAUAAGUGCCAAAUAAAAUAGAGGCAAAAAAGGUAGAAACUUUCCGAUUUUAACCCAGUGCCGCCUGGAGGAGUCUCAUUCAUCAGAUCCUCGGUGUCACAGUCACAGAGACACGUGUAAGCGCCCCGGUUUAGGCCAUAAAGCUCUUUGCUCUUCUUCUUCAUCAUCAUAGUUUCACUUGGUUUUCAAGAAGAGCUCUCAUAUACAGUUCACUAUUACUCGAUCAGUUCUUCUGGGUCUAGUGAAGCAGGUUCGUUUCUUUCUUUCUUUUCUUUUGAGUUCUUUAGCAUGCAUCUAUGUUUAUUUUGUUCCUAUUUGCUCAACAGAAACAAAAUGCAGGCCUUUCCCUUUGGGUCUAGAGAAUAUGCUUGUGAUUUUUUUGUUGGUAGAUAUAUAAUGGUUUUUGAUUUACCUAUAUCUGAGAAAUCUAAGCAAAUAGAUAAUUGCAUGCAAUACUUACCUUUUGUAUUGUUUACCUCUGAAUACAUGUAUGAUUUCUAUCUCUAGAGAAAAUAUAAUUGCUGUAUCAAUUACUGUUAAGCAAAUACACAUGUUUGAAUUACGGUUUUGUCUGUCAAAAACUGUUCUUCACAGAGUACUAUGGUUAAUCAUGUGAAAACUCUUAAAACGAAAUACAUUUAGCUUUCAAGUAGUUCCCUAACUCUUGAAAUGAUUGUUCAUCUGUUACAAUGUCCUUGUCAACAUCUUACAUAUUAAAGCUUGUAGCUACCAAAUUCACAAUUCUGCUUGCAAUAAGACCAUGUGUUUUUGCAGCAGGACAAAUGAAUUCGAAGCCACAGAGUCAGUUGAGAGUUCGAGAUAGGAUCAGUGAUUUACCGGAUGCAUUUCUUUGGCACAUCCUUUCGUUUCUUGACACAACAUAUGUGGUGAGGACCUGUAUUCUGUCUACAAGAUGGAAGAAC
rnacentral:lncRNA from 1 species